UACGUAGGGGGCAAGCGUUGUCCGGAUUUAUUGGGCGUAAAGCGCGUGUAGGCGGCCAGGUAGGUCCGUUGUGAAAACUCGAGGCUCAACCUCGAGACGUCGACGGAAACCAUCUGGCUAGAGUCCGGAAGAGGAGAGUGGAAAUUCCUGGUGUAGCGGUGGAAUGCGCAGAUAUCAAGGAGGAACACCGAUGCGAAGGCAGAUCUCUGGGCCGUUU
rnacentral:rRNA from 1 species